rnacentral:rRNA from 1 species
GACGAACGCUGGCGGCGUGCCUAAUACAUGCAAGUAGAACGCACAGUUUAUACCGUAGCUUGCUACACCAUAGACUGUGAGUUGCGAACGGGUGAGUAACGCGUAGGUAACCUGCCUGGUAGCGGGGGAUAACUAUUGGAAACGAUAGCUAAUACCGCAUAAUAUUAAUUAUUGCAUGAUAAUUAAUUGAAAGGUGCAAUUGCACCACUACCAGCUGGACCUGCGUUGUAUUAGCUAGUAGGUGAGGUAACGGCUCACCUAGGCGACGAUACAUAUCCGAACUGGGAAGGGGAUCGGCCAACAUGGGAAUGAGAAACGGCCCAGGCUCCUACGGGAAGGAGCAGUAGGGAAUCUUCGGCAAUGGGCGAAAGUCUGGCCGAGCAACGCCGCGUGAGUGAAGAAGGUUGUCGGAUCGUAAAGCUCUGUUGUAAGGGAAGAACGGGAGUGGGAGUGGAAAGUUCACACUGUGACGGUAUCUUACCAGAAAGGGACGGCUAACUACGUG